CGCGUCUUCAGGAGUUAAUGAAUCCACUUCAAGAGUCUAAUCACCCACAGGUUCCAGGCUGCUUCAGCUGCUGUUCUUACAGGAUAAGAAAGUUAAAGUCAAGAAGCCAGAAUAUCAUCAAUGUCCAUAAAUACUUUUGUAUUUUUGGCCUUCUGUGAGGGUAGAAGUACUGAUAGAACCCAGGAUAUUUCUACCUUUGGACCAGGCUAGAACACCUGGACAAAUGGAAAUGGCCGCCAUGGACAAGGGGCAAGAAAUGGACUUGCUAAUUAUGCAGGCUCCCUCCCCGAAGCUGCUUCUCUCUUCGACUUCAUCAUGUUCCCGCAUCUUCUUGCUUCACUGUCUCUUUGUGUGAGGGAGAGACCCCAUACCACUUUGCACUCUCUCUGCCUACAAACUGCUUUUAAAGAAUGCUAUUGAGGCUUUGAAAAAAUGAAAAUUAACCAUAGAAAAUACAGGCAGCACUCCAUCCCAGGAGUCAUCCUUGAAUGUUUUUCAUUUGAUCGAGGAGUGAGCAAGGAACUGCUGAGGGAGGAUGGCAAGCAGGAGAGACAGCUGCCAAUGACUGGGUACCAGGACCCGAGUCAUGCAAGAACAGAAGCCAAGAGAGGGAAGAAGCUGAUAGAUGGACAAACACUUGGACACUUGCUGAAGUAGCUUUGCAGGUGCUGUGCUCACUCAGUACAAAGUACCAUAUGGAUAGAUAGGAAGUCUA
rnacentral:lncRNA from 1 species